UUAUAUAAAAGGUAUAUUCUGCCCUAUGAUUUAUAUUAAAUGGCUGCAGUAUUUUGACUGUGCAAAGGUAGCAUAGUAAUUAGUUUCUUAAUUAGAAGCUGGUAUGAAUGAAUUAAUGAGAAAUAUAUUUUAUUAAUUUUAUUAUUAAAAUUUAAAAUUUAAGUUAAAAUGCUUAAUGAAUUUCUAGGGACGAUAAGACCCUAUAGAACUUUAUAUUAUAAUUUUUAAUUGUUUUUGUUUAAAAUAUUCAUUUAAUUUUUGUAAUAAUUUGCUGGGGUGGUGAAUAAAUUUUAACUUUAUUAUUUUAUAUCAGAAAUAUCUGUUAGUUUUGAUCCUACUGGACUUAAGAUUAAGUUACCUUAGGGAUAACAGCGUAAUUUUAAUGGCGAGUCCAUAUCUAUAUUAAUUUUGCGACCUCGAUGUUGAAUUAAGGUAAGACUAAGGAGCAGAAUUCUUAGUUCUAAGUCUGUUCGACUUUUAAAUCCUUACAUGAU
rnacentral:rRNA from 1 species